UUUCUUGCCUGUGCAGGACGAUCCGGUGAUCAUAAAGGCCGGUCAAGUCCCGGGUGGCGUCGCCAUUGCACAUCGGCCUGGCGCCACCUGCCUCUGCCUAAAUAAGUGCAGAGACGAGCACUCAAUUUUUGUAUAGGACGCGCCGAAGACGGCCGUCCAC